UACGAAGGGUGCAAACGUUGCUCGGAAUUAUUGGGCGUAAAGCGCACGUAGGCGGCAUUGCAAGUCGGAUGUGAAAUCUUAUGGCUUAACCAUAAAAGUGCAUCCGAAACUGCAGUGCUUGAGUACUUAAGAGGAUCGCGGAAUUCCCGGUGUAGAGGUGAAAUUCGUAGAUAUCGGGAGGAAAACCAGUGGCGAAGGCGGCGAUCUGGGAAGAUACUGACGCUGAGGUGCGAAAGCGUGGGGAGCAAACAGG
rnacentral:rRNA from 1 species